rnacentral:rRNA from 1 species
CCUACGGGUGGCAGCAGUGAGGAAUAUUGGUCAAUGGGCGCGAGCCUGAACCAGCCAUGUAGCGUGAAGGCUGACUGCCCUAUGGGUUGUAAACUUCUUUUAUAAAGGAAUAAAGUGAGGGACGAGUGACUUUUUGUAUGUACUUUAUGCAUACGGAUAGGAUAACUCCGUGCCAGCAGCCGCGGUACUACGGAGGGUCCGAGCGUUAUCCGGAUUUGUUGGGUUUAAAGGGAGCGUAGGUGGGUUGUUAAGUCAGAUGUGAAAGGCUACGGCUCAACCGUAAAACUGCAAUUGAUACUGGCAGGCUAGAGUAUAGUAGAGGGAGGCGGAAUUCGAGGUGUAGCGGUGAAAUGCUUAGAUAUCACGAAGAACUCCGAUUGCGAAGGCAGCCCACUAAAC